GGAGAGGUGCCGGAGUGGUCGAACGGGGCGGUUUCGAAAACCGUUGUGCUCUUUGAGUACCCAGGGUUCGAAUCCCUGUCUCUCCGCCA
rnacentral:tRNA from 1 species